UUUUUCUUUAAGUAAAGUAGAAAAUGUGAAAAGAUUACAAAAAUCAAACUGGGUACUCAUUUACGUGCUAAAGUUACUCCACCUAACGCGCCCUUACAUUAACUGCCACCUAACACGCCUUAACCUGACUAAUUAACCCCAAAAAUCCCGAAAAAUUCGUCAUUUCAUCCAGCAAUCAAUUUCAUCCACCCAAAUUCUCUCUUCGAAAUCGAUCACCAAGAAAAGAACCCAAAACAUAAACACAAUGUUCAAUCACAAAUCUCCCACGGAAGCAUAUUCGAUGCCAGUUCCCAUUGCAAUCAAUUUCAACCCCCAAAUCGUCUCUGCAGAAUCGCUCACCAUGAAAGAACCCUAAACCUAAACACUAAAUUGGUCAUUAACAGAUCUCCCACAAAAGUAUAUUCGAAUUCAAUUCAUACAAAUCUAACAUUUGAUUCCUAUUUUCCAUUAUUUCAGUCUUACUGCUAGAAUAAAUCCCUGUUGGAAGCGUAUCACCACCACCACCACCACCACCACCCGACCACAAUCCGCCGCUUUUUUCCCCCCUGAAAAUUUGUACCAUGGAUGUUGAAGAAACUCCAGUUGCAGUGGUCCAUAGGCGACGUUUGUCCAUGGGGUCCUUCAAAACACAGCGUACAGGCGAUUCACAUAGGACCUGUGAGAUCAUCGAUCCCAAGAAUGAACUCGGUAAAACCCCAUCUCGAUGCAUCACCCGUUCCAUAAAUAAAUCCUCAGAUUCAAAAGUCUCAGGCAACAGGCCACCACUGGCCAAAGUCGUACACCCAAAUUCUAAAUAUAUGUGGGGGAAGAACAACAUGGAGGACAAAAGGCAAGAGGGUAGUUGAAGAUGCAAUCGCAUUCUCGAACAACAAAAAGAAAAAUUUACAAUCCAACACAAUCCACAAGUAAUCGUCUCGAUCCUUGAAUGCCGUCUAGAAUUCUUUGGCCAACCACCCGGUCUCUUUGAAUUGGGUGGGAGGAUAUGAUUAUGGCAUGAACUAUUCACAUUCCUCCAUUGCUCUUGACAACCCAGUGGAACAAUGUUGCUCGCAUAUGUGUCAACGUAUGCGUUCUUUGUGUUGUAGUGUGAGCAAUACUUGUACGACGCCUCACCAUUGUCACCUAUCACUACCAAAGCAUGUUGGCAGGGGACGCCAUCUACUUGAAAACAGUUGCAUGUACAUGUCAUGCACGUUAAGUCUACAAUGUGCUUUGUUCUGUCCUCCAUCACUUCAUACAAGCAUUCAUUUGAUGUUGAUUCCUACAACAAGAAAAAAGAUAUUAGACUGAAUACAUAUAUACUUGUGUGUAUAUAUAUACACACACAAAACGUGAAAGAUUAAUGUUCUCAUUGCAUUUAGACAAGGUGAAUUUAAACCUUAGUCAAUUCACCUUUAGCCCUAUGGACAGCUUAGCAUUCAACCUUAGAAUAUUUUCCUACUUGACAGCUAGCCGCGUGAAAGUGCCACACACAAUGUUUCAAUUCUUAUAAAACCAUCCUUGUAGCAUAUGCCUCGAUGAGUCAAACGGGUAAUCUACUGGACAAUGCUUAAAUGGCUUUAUCAUUGCAUUCACAGACUCAACUAUGUUUGACGUCAUUGCUAAGAAACGAUUACAGUGCAUGUAACACCUUGACCACUUUUCGAAUCCGAUAUUUUCCUACAUCACCAACAAGAUUGACCAUAUAUAAAAAAAAUACAAGGAUGUAACGCUUAUAUUUACAAAAAAUAUUAAUGGAAUUAUACUCACUAAAUCUUUUCUGAUGCCCUCAUUAAUCUUAUCAAGUUGCCUCAUGUGGUAAUCAAACUCGUCCUUCUUGUACUUUCUUGCAGCCGCAUAAUAUGGCUUUGUAGUGUUUUUACCAACGUACCCAUACGACGUACACAGGUUUUGUAACAAAUGAUGGGCACAAAUUCCAUGCACAACCCCUGGGUAUACUAAUUGUACAGCAUACUCAAUGCUGGGGUGACAAUCUGAAACGAAGCACAUUUCAUUUCACUCACCAUAUGCAUCCUUGAAUUUACGCAAGAACUAACUCCAUGAGUCAUUAUUCUCUUAAUCGCCGAUACCAAAAGCAAGCACAAAUACUCCAUUGUUUGCAUCCUGUGUGCAUGUGGUGAAUAAACUACCAUGAUAGCGUCACGUUAGGAAUGUUAUGUCCACCACUACAACGGGCUUACAGUUCGUCCACCCUUGUAUGCAUGCACCCAAUGCCAUAAAAGCGUAUCUAAAGUGUCCAUAUGAGUUGAUUUCUACGCCAGUUAUAGACCUAGGAUUCUUUCUUUCAAACUCAUUCAUGAAAGUUGACAGUUUCCAUAUGCAUGAUCAGGAUCCCCCAUGACAACCUCAAGUGCACGCUCGCGAGCCCUCCAAGCUUUUCCAUACUUCACAGUCACUCCGUAUAUCUCUGCCAUGUCGUUCAUUAUGUCCACCGAAGUGUAAAUAGUA
rnacentral:lncRNA from 1 species